UUCUAUUAUAUUAAUUAAUAGUAAAAUCUGCUCAAUGAAAUUAAAUAGCCGCAAACGUGCUAAGGUAGCAUAAUAAUUUGUCUUUUAAAUAAAGACUAGAACAAAAGAUUCAACAUUUUAACUAAUUUUUUAAAUCAAAAAUCGAAUUUUUCUUAAAUGUAAAAAGACAUUUAUAAAAAAGAAAGACGACAAGACCCUUACGAACUUAACUUAAGUUAAACUGGGGAAGUAAAUUAAUUAUUAUUUUAAUUAAAAUUAAAAUCAAAAAAACUAAAUAAUUAAUAUUCAAGUUACCGGAGGGAUAACAGCGUAAUAUAUUUUAAAAGAUCUUAUUUAAAAAAAAGUUUGCGACCUCGAUGUUGAAUAAUUACCUAUUAUAUGCAAAAAUAUAAAAAGGAAGUCUGUUCGACUUUUAAAAAAUUACA
rnacentral:rRNA from 1 species